AUCAAAAUGUAAAUCUGAAAAUCUGAAGCUGACAUAUUACCCUAUGGCACCGAUUGGUACCAUCUGCUCAUGCUUCUCUACGAGGAAUGGGAUAACGAGGCAACCGUUACUUGUACCACUUGUUAGAGCCUGUUUGGUUUUUAAUGCCACUCGUGUUUCGCCAGUGUCUCUUGAGGGUCAAGUUGAAUAUUCUCACUACUGGGUUUUAUAUGUAUUUCAUUUAAAUACAGAUCUUAAGAAACCACGGAAGCAUCCAUCUCAACCAGGGUUUAAGGCAAAGGUUAUUAGCUCUAGUAUUAAUGUCUUAUCUAUGUAGCAUCUUCUUGCCUCAUUUUAUCCUCUAGAGAUAUUUUUCAUAUGAACUAGUGGAUGGAUAGGUGAGAGUUCUAAGACUUAAAGGAGGAAGAAUGGGAGUGUUCGCCACUCGAUCCCCACAUUGUCCAUGUCCCAUUGGACUUACAGUUGCAAAGUAAAGUUAUUCUCUAAGAAAGGGUACAAGGACCAUUUUUUCAAGUACAGAAGAUACACAAGUACAUAGCUAUCAAGCAUGCAGUAGAAGCUUGACGAUCUUUGUGAGCAGUUAAACAACACUAAAAAGCUCUCAACUGCUUCCUUCAACAAAUUAUCAAACAAGGACGAAGAAUUGCAAUCGAGUUAGGUGUUUGGCGCUGAG